CUAACUGCAUGUCUUGGCACUGUGGGAGGAAGCUGGAGUACCUGGAGAGAUCCUGAACAUGCAAAACUCCACACAGAAAGGCCCAGAUGGCAGAUCCAAACCCAGGACUUUGUGAGCCAACAGAGUCAACCACCAGGCUCAAACGGGUUGAACACUCAAGUGUUUUUGAAGCAGGAUGUGUGUCAGUGUGUGCCUGUUUGUCAAUGACUAUGUGUCAGGUCAGGUCUUAAACUCUCCUUCUCUCUGAGAAAAGCUCAAGCUCGACCGGGUUUCGGGCCUGUUUAUCCCCGACACACUCCCUGCCAGUGGCUGGUGCCCCCACCAGUGAAUUGCUGGUUCUCGGUGUCUGGGGCUGGAUACUCGGGUGUGUACUGGCUCGCUCCUGGCGGCUGCUUUGCGGGGCCUGGGCCCUGCUCUUCUACUCUAUUUUUCUCUCCCUUCUGCUCCUUCUGUUAACUUUUUCCCCAACUUCAUUUUCUUUUGUUUUUUUAUAGGCCCCCAGUCUUGUCUGUUAUGGCUCUUUAUCAGUCUACUCAAUCCGCUGGUGAAGUAUUACAAGUUGUCACAAGUAUUCAGGGAGUUGGCAGAGGCCACAGACUGGGGACCUGUCCAGGAUGUACCCUGCCUCUCCCCCUAUGACGGCUGGGAUAGGCUCCAGGCCCCUGGGACAGCCGAGUUAGAUAAGCAAAACAAAAUGGAUGGAUGGAUGCUUGCCAAAACUAACAACAAAAGCUGACUUCUUGGAGAGCAUCUGGCAAUAUAAUAGAUUGGUGUGUAUGCCCCAGACUCAUUGGUGACAUCACUGCUGUAGUCCAAUCAUCUUCCUGCCUGCCUUCUGUGAGCCAGUGAGCCUCCAUCCUCCAUUACCUUGGCCUCCAAUAACACUGGCUUUGAAGACCUGCAUUUCCAGAUUCGGGAACAGUUUCUAUCCAACAGCCAAAAAUGAACUCAGUUUUCCCCUCCCAGUAUCUUUCCAAUAGCUCUAAGUCACUAGUUACACAAAA